rnacentral:rRNA from 1 species
GGACCCGCACAAGCGGUGGAUGAUGUGGAUUAAUUCGAUGCAACGCGAACAACCUUACCUACCCUUGACAUGUCCGGAAGCCCGCUGAGAGGCGGGUGUGCCCGAAAGGGAAUCGGAACACAGGUGCUGCAUGGCUGUCGUCAGCUCGUGUCGUGAGAUGUUGGGUUAAGUCCCGCAACGAGCGCAACCCUUGUCCCUAGUUGCUACGCAAGGGCACUCUAGGGAGACUGCCGGUGACAAACCGGAGGAAGGUGGGGAUGACGUCAAGUCCUCAUGGCCCUUAUGGGUAGGGCUUCACACGUCAUACAAUGGCCGGUACAGAGGGUUGCCAACCCGCGAGGGGGAGCCAAUCCCAGAAAGCCGGUCGUAGUCCGGAUUGCAGUCUGCAACUCGACUGCAUGAAGUCGGAAUCGCUAGUAAUCGCGGAUCAGCAUGUCGCGGUGAAUACGUUCCCGGGUCUU